rnacentral:rRNA from 1 species
CUGACGACGCGACGCCGCGUGGAGGAUGAAGGUCUUCGGAUUGUAAACUCCUUUUAUAUGGGACGAAUAGAUGACGGUACCAUAUGAAUAAGUACCUGCUAACUACGUGCCAGAAGCAUCGGUGAUGCGUAGGGUACAAACGUUAUCCGGAUUAAUUGGGCGUAUAGAGAAGCGUAGGCGUUUCUGCCAGUCUUUAGUUAAAGACCACGGCCUAACCGUGGGAGAGCUCGAGAUACUACAGAAAUUGAGACAGGAAUGGGCGAAUGGAAUUCCCAGUGGAGCAGUGAAAUGCGUUGAUAUUGGGAGGAACAUCAGUGGCGAAGGCGAUUCGCUGGUCCUUGUCUGACGCUAAGGCUCGAAAGCGUGGGUAGCAAAACGGAUUAGAUACCCGUGUAGUCCACGCCGUAAACAAUGGAUGCUAGGUGUUUGGUACAACUACCUAAUCCUUCGGGAUUGGAUGGAAGUAUUGAGUGCCGCAGCUAACGCGUUAAGCAUCCCGCCUGGGAAGUACGGCCGCAAGGCUAAAACUCAAAUGAAUUGGCGGGGACCCGCACAAGCGGAGGAGCGCGUGGUUUAAUUCGACGGCAAUCGAAGAACCUUACCAGGGUUUGAAAUGUAUCUGCAUGCCCCUAGAAAUAGGGGAGGCUUUCGAAGGUGAUACACAGGUGCUGCAUGGCCGUCGUCAGCUCGUGUCGUGAGAUGUAGGGUUAAGUCCCGAAACGAGCGCAACCCCUGUCCCAUGUUACAAGUGUCUUGGGAAACUGCCUCGGUAAAACGGGGAGGAAGGUGGGGAUGACGUCUGGUCCGCAUAGCCCUUAUGUCCUGGGCGACACACGCGCUACAAUGGCCGAUACAAUGGGAAGCCAAAUCGUAAGAUGGAGCAAAUCCUAAAAAGUCGGUCUCAGUUCGGAUUGAGGUCUGAAACUCGACCUCAUGAAGUUGGAUUCGCUAGUAAUCGUGGAUCAGCCAUGCCACGGUGAAUACGUUCUCGGGUCUUGCACACACCGCCCGUCAAGCCAUGGAAGUAGGUGAUACCCGAAGGUGUUCCGCUCCUUGUGAGUGGGAUGACGAAGGUAACGCUUAUGACUGGGGUUAAGUCGUAACAAGGUAGCCGUAGGGGAAUCUGCGGCUG